AUGCGGCAGCAGUCCCUCUUCCUCGAGGGCAGAAAGUGUUGCUUUGGUGAGUCCUCCGUGGCCUACCUGGGUCAUGUCAUUGUUGCUGAUGGGGUGGCCAUGGAUAAGGAUAAGGUGCGCGCGAUUGCUAACUGGCCUACGCCUCGUUCUUUCCGGGCGUUACGCGGCUUCUUGGGGCUGGCCAGCUACUAUCGCAAGUUCAUCAAGGACUUCGGCAUGCUCGCUGCCCCUCUCACACGCCUAAUGAGCAAGGAGAGAUUUUGGUGGUGCCCAGAGGCACAGGAUGCCUUCCAGGCGCUCAAGCAUGCCCUUGGUCAAGAUCCGGUGCUCCAGAUGCCGGACUUUGACAAUUGCUUCAUUCUUGAGUGUGACGCCUCCGGGACUGGCUUUGGUGCUGUUCUUCAGCAAGGUGCGGGGCCCUUGGCCUUUUUCGGUCAGCCCAUUGCUUCAUGCCAUGCCAAGCUUGCUGCCUAUGAGCGGGAACUCAUUGACUGGUUCAGGCUGUACGUCACUGGCGGACAUAUCUUUGGGGUCAUGCCUUUACCGAACGCACCGGCCACUACAGCCUGA
rnacentral:rRNA from 1 species